UACAGAGGGGGCAAGCGUUGUUCGGAAUUACUGGGCGUAAAGGGCGCGUAGGCGGCCUGUUAAGUCGAACGUGAAAUCCCCGGGCUCAACCCGGGAACUGCGUCCGAUACUGGCAGGCUUGAAUCCGGGAGAGGGAUGCGGAAUUCCAGGUGUAGCGGUGAAAUGCGUAGAGAUGUGGAGGAAUACCGAUGGCGAAGGCAGCCUCCUGGGCCAACACUGACGCUCAUGCACGAAAGCGUGGGGAGCAAACAGG
rnacentral:rRNA from 1 species